rnacentral:rRNA from 1 species
UACGUAGGGUGCGAGCGUUGUCCGGAAUUAUUGGGCGUAAAGAGCUCGUAGGCGGCUUGUCGCGUCAACUGCGAAAACCCGUGGCUCAACCAUGUGGUCUGCAGUCGAUACGGGCAGGCUAGAAUUCGGUAGGGGAGACUGGAAUUCCUGGUGUAGCGGUGAAAUGCGCAGAUAUCAGGAAGAACACCCGUGGCGAAGGCGGUUCUCUGGGACGGUACUGACGCUGAGACGCGAAAGCGUGGGGAGCGAACAGG